CCCAACUGUCAUGCAAGAGGGGUUGGGAUCCUUCUCCAUCCUUUGCGGUGUGUCUCUACUUCUUACCUGCCUGCUCUCAAGCCCUGCUUACAACAAACAGACCUUCAGGUACUUCAUGGGAGGAGAGGCUCCAGGAGGAGAGCCUGUGCCCCGCUGCGGUGCCUUGCAGCUCCUGUGUGAGGAUGAACCAGAAGGGAAGAUCCCAGACUGGCUCUUCAGGAUCUGGUUCCUGGGCUGUCCCUUCAUCUUCUGUCAUGCUGAGGAGCAGCGAGUCCACGCCAUCUCAACCUCGGAGACCCAGGGCCAUUUAGGAUGCCCCAGCAGUCUGCUCCAGCCCCAAACCUGUCGCCCUGCAUUUAAACAACCCC
ensembl:lncRNA